CACGCCCAAACACACCGGUGAAUGGCCAACCCUUUUCUGAAUUGAGUUGGGAAAUAUGCUGCUCUGUGGGCUUCAGGGUCCGUGUACAUUUCGUUAUCAAAACUGAGAAUGGAAAAACUACAUUUGAAAAUCAGAAAUCAACUUGUUUUCUCAUUUGUUUGGCUUGCACUAGCAAGCACUAGCUGCUAGAAUAAAGUAAUGACAUCUCAUUUUGUCUUAGCUUGUAAAAUAUAUAUUUAUAUAUUUUUGGACAAAACUAAAAACAAAAAUUUAAUAUAUUGUGUUAUUUGUUUUAUAUUAUUACAUGUCCAAUUUUGAAACAAUUGAGAAACGGAAUCGUUUUGCGUUUUUCCAUUCUCCGUUUUUAUUCGGAAAUCAAAAUAACGAAAUGUACACGGACCCGUCAGCUUGAUAAGGUGAAGCAACCUUGAGUAGGAGGGGAAAUCAAAGUUUGGAAUUGGAACAGUGGCAGAAGAUCCGGAGUACGAGUGCGGAGCACUCGGGAUAAGUCCUUCAGAAACAGCAGGACAAAGAAAUCUAACUCCGGAGUGAUAAGGAUGGGUGAGACACCAGUCAGGGAUGAUGGCACAGUUACAAGGUCAGCUGAGUAUGUUGGCUCCUUUCCUGUGGAUGACUGUUGUUUGGAUGAUCAGAUGCAGCAGUUGCACACACAGCUCAAGUCUCUCAAAACAUGCAAGAAAAGGAGGUCUGUGUCCCUGAAAUUUUCCAUCAAAGGUGUGAAGAUGUAUGAUGAAGAUGAGACGACCAUCCUCAUGGCCCAUGCUCUACGAAGGGUCUCCCUUUCCACCGCCCACCCCUCGGAUGCCCAAUUCGCCUUUGUUUCCCACAAUCCAGGAAACCCUGAUGCCCAACUUUACUGCCACCUCUUCAAGGCUAGUCAUGCCAGAGCAGCCCAGUUCCUGAACCUGUUGCUGUGCCGCUGUUUCCAGCUGUCCUACCUGGAGAAGCACCCAGAGGAGGCUCAAGUUGAGUCUGCAGGCCCACUGCCCAACUGUACCCCCUCCCUCCUCAACCAGGGCUUCCCUCUCAGUGUCAGCGCCCUUGUGUCCUUCAGAAGGGCCCCCACUCAGGGCUUACUCCCAGGGGAAAAGGUCUUCCCAUUGAAGAACAACAGCGCAACAACUGAGGAACAACCAAGCAUCCAAGAAAACGUCAUCACCUCUCCUUCCCUGGUGCGCAAGAAAGCCAUCCGCAACAAAGUACUGCGCUCAGGGGCCUAUCGCUCCUUCACUUAUACCCCUCACAAACAACGCCACCUUCAGGAUCGGCUUAACUCUCCACAAGGAAAGGGGCAGGACAAAAUGCCAGGGAGGAGAGCCCGGGCCCCGAGCCUUGCUGAAACAGAAGAAGCUCUGGCUCAAGCGGUGUGGUGUUGGGCUGGCAUCACCACUGACAGCAGCUCUUCCCUGCUUGCAGAGGAUGUCCUGGGCUCGUACCUCCUGUGCCCGCAUCCUAAGAGACCUGGCUGUGGCUCUCUCAUCAUUCGUUUCUCUUCUGGCCUCAUCACCCACCUCAUAGACAACACAUAUAAAGGGACAUACCUGCUUGAGAACUGCCAACAAGAAUUCUGCACCAUUGCUGCUUUGAUAGAGCACUACACAGAGUUCAAGGAGGAGCUGGACUUUCCUCUGAGUUGUGCCCGUGUAAACCACUGCUACGAGUGGGAGGAGAAUGUUGGCAAGCAUGAGGUGAAACAGAAACGUAAACCUGAUGAUACAAAGGAGAACAAACGACGGAAACAAACCAUGUACAGGACGCAGGCCAGAGAUUGAAUGUGUGCAAGGUCACUUUCAUGUCUGUGUUCCAGCUAACCAACAACUGUCUUAAGGUUGUUCGGGAAAAGUUAGGAGUUCAAGCUGAGGCAGGUGAGGUUGCAGGGUCACCAGAUCAGGCUAUUGAGGCUAGGUCUCCUUUAGAAGAUGGAAGAGGGAAGCAUAGCAAUAGGCCACAUCGGAUACAUGCUACAGUGAAAGAGGGCAUCAAGGAGCACAUUCUAUCUUACCCAAGAACCCAGAACCACUACUCUCAGAUGAAGGGGGAUGUAAACAGAGAAUACCUCAGCCCUGAUCUGAAUUUGUUGCGAAUGUACCGACUCUACAAAGAGAAGAAUACCACAUCUGCAAAAUUCUGGGUUUAUAGGGACAUUUUCAAACAGCAGUCUCAAUUCUGGCCAACCCAGGAGUGACACCUGUGGGAAAUGUGAUGCAUUCUUCACUAAAAUGUCAGCAGCAACAUCUGAAGAGGAAGAUUGCGGUUGAAAGUGAGUUGCACCAUCGAAAAGGCCUACACACAGCGUCAAAGUGACACUGAGUGGGCUAAAGGCCACUGCCAUGCUGACUGCCAUGUCAUUUCUGUGGAUCUACAGGGGGUGAUGUACACCCCUAAUCUGACCCACUCUGAUGUUCACUACCAGCGGCAGCUGUCAAAUUUUAACAUUUGCAUCCAGGAGCUUGUAAAAGAAGAUCCUGCAUACAUGUGUGUUUGGCAUGAGGGGAUUGCACACAGAGGGUCAUGCAUAUUGAAGUGGGUGAAGACAAAAUUCACGCCACUCACCAAACCAAAGGUGCGCAAGUUGAUCAUCUUCAAUGACAGAUGCUGUUGGCAGAAUAACAACUGAUGGAUGCUCAAUCUGAUGUCGAUGCUCGUCUCUAUGGGUUACUUUACCCAAGUUGAGCAGAAGUUCAUGGUCUCUGGUCAUCCUUUUCUUCCUUGUGAUGGAUAUUUUGCCACCAUCGUGAAGAGGCGCAUGGUGUCAGUCCUUCAUACAACUGAUGAUGUUUCAAAGAUGAUACUUGAAGCACAACCAGUAAAACCAUUCAAGGUUAUGUGGAUGCAAUGUGAAGACUUAAGGCACCUCCCAGAUUCUGUCCUCAAGCGACCAGCUGGACUACAGAUCACCUCAGUGAGGUGGUUAAAAGUCACAGUUGAAGAUCCUUGGAAUCUGUACACCAGACAGAGCCACAGUAUAUUUGAGGCAUGGAAAUCAUGGCUGAUCUCCAAACCAAAACAAGGAGCUACACCUCAACCUCCCUAUUUUGCAAGCCACUACCCUAGAGCAUAUGAGAGUCCUCUGUCCAUCAAAAAAAAACAAGUACCAAGAUCUGAUGACCAUGCUCAACUACUUGCCAGCUGCUGCACGCUCUUUUUAUAAAUCACUGCAGAGUGAAUCAUUUGAUGUUAAACCAAGCUACGUAAUUAACCGUUUUUUUCUGUGAGUUUGAUCCCCUGAACCUGUAUAGUAUGUUGAAUCUGAAUACAUUUCAGAAGACAUGUCACCCCUAUUGUAGGAAAUUAAAUGUAUAGUAGGUGUUUUCUAUGUGAAUCAAUGUGUAUGAUUUGAACCAGCACAAUAUAUUGAAUUCAUUUAAUUUUAAGAUGUUCCUAGUGUAGAAAAUGUUAUGUACAGUGUGUUCUGUUGAAUUAUUUUGUGUGAUCAUUUUAACUUUUUUUUUAUCGUAAUUAAUUAAAAACAUAAGUCAUCA